GACGAACGCUGGCGGCGUGCUUAACACAUGCAAGUCGAACGGAAAGGCCCUGCUUUUGUGGGGUGCUCGAGUGGCGAACGGGUGAGUAACACGUGAGUAACCUGCCCUUGACUUUGGGAUAACUUCAGGAAACUGGGGCUAAUACCGGAUAGGAGCUCCUGCUGCAUGGUGGGGGUUGGAAAGUUUCGGCGGUUGGGGAUGGACUCGCGGCUUAUCAGCUUGUUGGUGGGGUAGUGGCUUACCAAGGCUUUGACGGGUAGCCGGCCUGAGAGGGUGACCGGCCACAUUGGGACUGCGAGACGGCCCAGACUCCUACGGGAGGCAGCGGUGGGGAAUAUUGCACAGUGGGCGGAAGCCUGAUGCAGCAACGCCGCGUGCGGGAUGACGGCCUUCGGGUUGUAAACCGCUUUCGCCUGUGACGAAGCGUGAGUGACGGUAAUGGGUAAAGAAGCACCGGCUAACUACGUG
rnacentral:rRNA from 1 species